AAAGUUGCGAAUGAAAGUAGUAAACCCUGGAUCUGGUGGGAUUAUGUAACUGAUUUUCGCUUGAGGUGCCCAAUGAAGGAGAAAAAAUAUAAUAAAGAGUGUGCUGACACUGUUAUCAAGUCUCUAGGACUAGAUAGCAAGAAAAUUGAAAAAUGCAUAGGUGAUCACAACGAAGAUUCUGAUAAUCCCGUUUUGAAACAAG
rnacentral:misc_RNA from 1 species